CUGACGCAGCAACGCCGCGUGAGUGAUGAAGGCUUUCGGGUCGUAAAGCUCUGUCAGAGGGGAAGAAUCGCCUGGCGGUUAAUACCCUGCAGGUUUGACGGUACCCUCAAAG
rnacentral:rRNA from 1 species